rnacentral:lncRNA from 1 species
UCUGAAGAUGUUGCGCGGCGAUAAGAUUGUUCUGGAGGAAAAAAAGAGAACGAGAGGACUUUACUACCUAGCGGGGAGCCUAGUGCGAGGUAGAGCUUUAAGAGCCAGGAGGAGUCCAGAGCAAGAUGGAGCUCCAGAUGGAGGUGGAUCGGGCACGAAACGCAAGACUCAGAAGGAUGAUAGGCGAUAUCGCAAGGUGAGAUUCCUAUUGCUGCAGGAUGAUAUCCCGAGC